rnacentral:rRNA from 1 species
AGAACGAACGCUGGCGGCAGGCUUAACACAUGCAAGUCGAACGGCUGUAGCAAUACAGCAGUGGCAGACGGGUGAGUAACACGUGGGAACCUUCCUAGGGGUACGGAACAACUCAGGGAAACUUGAGCUAAUACCGUAUACGUCCGUGAGGAGAAAGUUUUAACGCCCCUAGAUGGGCCCGCGUAGGAUUAGGUAGUUGGUGAGGUAACGGCUCACCAAGCCUACGAUCCUUAGCUGAUCUGAGAGGAUGAUCAGCCACACUGGGACUGAGACACGGCCCAGACUCCUACGGGAGGCAGCAGUGGGGAAUCUUGGACAAUGGGCGCAAGCCUGAUCCAGCCAUGCCGCGUGAGUGAAGAAGGCCUUCGGGUUGUAAAGCUCUUUUACCAGGGACGAUAAUGACGGUACCUGGAGAAUAAGCCCGGCAAACUUCGUGCCAGCAGCCGC